GCCGGGGUAGUAGGAGGCCUGCCCGCGGUUGUCGGCCGCGGGGCGCCGGGAUUCCGGUCCGGUACCGGCCCCGGAACC
rnacentral:tRNA from 1 species